rnacentral:rRNA from 1 species
CCUACGGGGUGCUGCAGUGGGGAAUAUUGGACAAUGGGCGAAAGCCUGAUCCAGCCAUGCCGCGUGUGUGAAGAAGGCCUUCGGGUUGUAAAGCACUUUCAGUGGGGAAGAAAGCCUUGGGGCUAAUACCCUCGAGGAAGGACAUCACCCACAGAAGAAGCACCGGCUAACUCCGUGCCAGCAGCCGCGGUAAUACGGAGGGUGCGAGCGGUAAUCGGAAUUACUGGGCGUAAAGCGCGCGUAGGCGGUCUGAUAAGCCGGUUGUGAAAGCCCCGGGCUCAACCUGGGAACGGCAUCCGGAACUGUCAGGCUAGAGUGCAGGAGAGGAAGGUAGAAUUCCCGGUGUAGCGGUGAAAUGCGUAGAGAUCGGGAGGAAUACCAGUGGCGAAGGCGGCCUUCUGGACUGACACUGACGCUGAGGUGCGAAAGCGUGGGUAGCAAACAGGAUUAGAUACCCCUGUAGUC